UUAAAAAAACAAACAAACAAAAAACAACAGUACUGCUGGGCUCCCAGGAUUGCAAGAAGCGGGGAGGGGGCGAUUCUGGGCCCUUUUCACUUCGUAGGGGCCUUCACCUCCUUUUUGCAUACAUUUUUGUUGGACAUUUGUAUUUCUUCUUUUGUGAAAUGCCAGUUCUUUUGCUCAUUCAUCAUUUUUUGUUUUGUUUUUUAGUUCUUUGUAUAGUUUGAAUCUUUUCUUAAAUGAGUAAUUGAACCCUUAGUUUGGUGUGGUCAUGUGAUAGUCCUGGCUAGUGAGAAAUAUCAGUGCAUUAAUGAUCUGUAAGUGGUCUAGAGGGAUGGGGGAAGAAGGAAGGUGUUGUUUCCUUUUUCAUUUCUUCCUCAUUUCUGCUUGCUGAAAUGUGGAUGUAGUGGCUUGGUCUUUGGUCUAUGAGGUAGAAGGCACAUGCUCUUGACAGUGGAAUAAGGGGUGAAGCUUAGGUUUCUGAUGCCCUGGAGAACUCUACUAGGAGCCCUGACUGCCCUUCUCUGGAUUUGUUUUAUAUGAGAAAUCAUCUGCUAGGAAAAUGCAAGGAACUGGAG
rnacentral:lncRNA from 1 species